UGCGUACACAACAUGUCUGGUAUACACAC
rnacentral:piRNA from 1 species